rnacentral:misc_RNA from 1 species
GCAGCAAACCAAAAAACCAGACCUCAGAAAUGCACAUAAAUUAUUUUCUUUAAACAUGACAAAACAAACAGAACACACACAUUGUACUGAUACAUUAUUUUCUUCAACUUUAUUUUUGGACAACAGCAAAUUCAAAUUCCACCAACAUCAUCAAGGCACAAUCUUAUAAGCCUUCAUUUUAUCUAUCCAGUAAAUGAAGGAAUUCUUGGAAUUUCUGAACCCCAAAAACCCGUGCUCCUUGCUCUUAUUCAUGCUCGAUAUCACAGCUUCACCACCCAAUAUCAAAUCAGCAAACCACCACACACCCACGUCCUCCAACUUGGUGGGAUGCAGCUGAUACUCCCUCACUAUCUCUUCCCAUACUGGACCCUUAUCCUUCAUUAUCUCCACCAAAAUCAAUCUCUUUUCUCCUUCCUCAAACCCGUAUUUCUCAAUCCCAAACUCCUCUGCCAAAAUUUUCCAGAAAUGCUUCCACUUGAACACAUCUCCAUUGUUGCAAUUAAAGGCUUCAUUUCUUGCGUAAGGAUCCACUGAUGCCCAAAUAUGUUGCUCCGCGAUCAGAUCAGCAUCUGAGGCAAUCGAGUAACAAUUCCAGGCUUGUUUAGUUCCAGGGAACAGUAAAGGCAACCCUUCGUGUUUACAUAUAACGGCGUAAACACAAAGUGUACCAAUAAUAUUCAUCAAGCUGUAUGGAGAAAACCCAAAAAUCUGAUCAGGUCUGGAAAUGGACCAAGUCAAUCCCUCCUUCUUCGCUGCCUCCUCAAACAAGAUAUCCUCUAAGGUGUAGUAAAAAUUGGGCACAUUCAAUCUGGGUAGAUCCUCCGUGAACG